rnacentral:rRNA from 1 species
CCUACGGGAGGCAGCAGUGAGGAAUAUUGCGCAAUGGGGGAAACCCUGACGCAGCGACGCCGCGUGGAUGAYGAAGGCCUUCGGGUCGUAAAAUCCUGUCAGAUGGGAAGAAAUGGUUCAUGGUUAAUACCCGUGUUCCUUGACGGUACCAUCAAAGGAAGCACCGGCUAACUCCGUGCCAGCAGCCGCGGUAAUU